rnacentral:rRNA from 1 species
UGAGGAAUAUUGGACAAUGGGCGCAAGCCUGAUCCAGCCAUGCCGCGUGCAGGAUGACGGUCCUAUGGAUUGUAAACUGCUUUUGUACAGGAAGAAACAGUUCUACGUGUAGAACCUUGACGGUACUGUAAGAAUAAGGAUCGGCUAACUCCGUGCCAGCAGCCGCGGUAAUACGGAGGAUCCAAGCGUUAUCCGGAAUCAUUGGGUUUAAAGGGUCCGUAGGCGGUUAGAUAAGUCAGUGGUGAAAGCCCAUCGUUCAACGGUGGAACGGCCAUUGAUACUGUCUGACUUGAAUUAUUAGGAAGUAACUAGAAUAUGUAGUGUAGCGGUGAAAUGCUUAGAGAUUACAUGGAAUACCAAUUGCGAAGGCAGGUUACUACUAAUGGAUUGACGCUGAUGGACGAAAGCGUGGGUAGCGAACAGGAUUAGAUACCCAAGUAGUCCCUGAGCGGGCUGGCAAGGCGCAU